rnacentral:rRNA from 1 species
AAUCAACGCUGGCGGCGUGCCUCAGACAUGCAAGUCGAACGCGAAAUUUCCCUUCGGGGAGAAAGUAGAGUGGCGCACGGGUGAGUAACACGUAGGUAAUUUGCCUUUGGGUGGGGAAUAACUCAGGGAAACUUGAGCUAAUACCGCAUAAUGCAGCGGCUCGACAUCGAGACAGUUGUUAAAGGCGGGGGAUCGCAAGACCUCGCGCCUAAAGAGAAGCCUGCGGCAGAUUAGCUAGUUGGUAGGGUAAUGGCCUACCAAGGCAACGAUCUGUAACCGGCCUGAGAGGGCGGUCGGUCACACUGACACUGACAUACGGGUCAGACUCCUACGGGAGGCAGCAGUCGGGAAUUUUGGGCAAUGGGCGAAAGCCUAACCCAGCAACGCCGCGUGAAGGAUG